GAGCCGCCGCGGUAAUACGUAGGGGGCAAGCGUUGUUCGGAAUUAUUGGGCGUAAAGCGCGCGCAGGCGGUUCCUUAAGUCUGAUGUGAAAGGCCACAGCUCAACUGUGGAGGGCCAUUGGAAACUGGGGAACUUGAGGACAGAAGAGGAGAGCGGAAUUCCACGUGUAGCGGUGAAAUGCGUAGAUAUGUGGAGGAACACCAGUGGCGAAGGCGGCUCUCUGGUCUGUAACUGACGCUGAGGCGCGAAAGCAUGGGUAGCGAACAGGAUUAGAUACCCGCGUAGUCC
rnacentral:rRNA from 1 species